CCUACGGGUGGCUGCAGUCGAGAAUCAUUCACAAUGGGGGAAACCCUGAUGGGGCGACGCCGCGUGGGGGAAUGAAGGUCUGCGGAUUGUAAACCCCUGUCAUGUGGGAGCAAAUUAAAAAGAUAGUACCACAAGAGGAAGAGACGGCAAACUCUGUGCCAGCAGCCGCGGUAAUACAGAGGUCUCAAGCGUUGUUCGGAACCACUGGGCGUAAAGCGUGCGUAGGCUGUUUCGUAAGUCGUGUGUGAAAGGCGCGGGCUCAACCCGCGGACGGCACAUGAUACUGCGAGACUAGAGUAAUGGAGGGGGAACCGGAAUGCUCGGUGUAGCAGUGAAAUGCGUAGAUAUCGAGAGGAACACUCGUGGCGAAGGCGGGUUCCUGGACAUUAACUGACACUGAGGCUCGAAAGUGUGGGUAUCAAACAGGAUUAGAUACCCCGGUAGUC
rnacentral:rRNA from 1 species